GGCGACGGCUGCACGCCAGCAGCGCCGCUCGGCCCGCCGCAGCCAGGGGCCCAACGCAGAGCGCGGAGAGCGCCGCCGGAAGCGGCAACCUGGCCUGUCAGUAAAUACAAAGUGGGCUAAAAUUGAUGACUUUGAGGCACUGUCUAAGUGAAAAUACCAAUAAACACUGAUUACAGAAGAGCACAGCACUCAAGGUGUCAAAGAAGGCUGCGAUACUUGCCUGAGCUGUGAAAAAGUGGUGGCUUAGGCUAAUACUGAAGAGGAAGAAACUCUGCAACAACUUAAAACUAAGGAGAGAUAGUCAAAACAUAUAAAUAAAUUAUAAAAUUGUUCUGAGUGUAUCUGAUGAGAUCAUUUCAAAAGAACACUGGAAAGAACAGUGCCCAAAAAAAAAAUUAUCAUGAAACAAAAUAGCUUAGAAAUGUUUCUG